AUUGAACGCUGGCGGCAUGCCUUACACAUGCAAGUCGAACGGUAACAGGUCUUCGGAUGCUGACGAGUGGCGAACGGGUGAGUAAUACAUCGGAACGUGCCUAGUAGUGGGGGAUAACUACUCGAAAGAGUGGCUAAUACCGCAUGAGAUCUACGGAUGAAAGCAGGGGAUCGCAAGACCUUGUGCUACUAGAGCGGCCGAUGGCAGAUUAGGUAGUCGGUGGGAUAAAAGCUUACCAAGCCGACGAUCUGUAGCUGGUCUGAGAGGACGAUCAGCCACACUGGGACUGAGACACGGCCCAGACUCCUACGGGAGGCAGCAGUGGGGAAUUUUGGACAAUGGGCGCAAGCCUGAUCCAGCAAUGCCGCGUGCAGGAUGAAGGCCUUCGGGUUGUAAACUGCUUUUGUACGGAACGAAAAGGCCUGGGUUAAUACCCUGGGGUCAUGACGGUACCGUAAGAAUAAGCACCGGCUAACUACGUGCCAGCCGCCGCGGUAAUAC
rnacentral:rRNA from 1 species